rnacentral:rRNA from 1 species
UACGAGUGCCUCAAGCGUUAUCCGGAAUCAUUGGGCGUAAAGUAUGUGUAGGUGGUUGUGUUAGUCUUGUGUUAAAUUCUUCGGCUUAACCGGGGGCAUGCACGGGAAACGGCACGACUAGAGGAUGCGAGGGGUCUGCGGAACUCAUAGUGUAGCGGUAAAAUGCGUUGAUAUUAUGGGGAACACCAAAAGCGAAGGCAGCAGACUGGAGCACUCCUGACACUGAAACAUGAAAGCGUGGGUCGCGAAUGGG